UCCCCAGUAGCUCAGCGGUAGAGCACUCGGCUGUUAACCGAUAGGUCGUUGGUUCGAAUCCAGCCUGAGGAG
rnacentral:tRNA from 1 species